CUACGGGAGGCUGCAGUGGGGAAUAUUGCACAAUGGGGGAAACCCUGAUGCAGCCAUGCCGCGUGUGUGAAGAAGGCUUUCGGGUUGUAAAGCACUUUCAGCGAGGAGGAAAGGGUGCAAGUUAAUACCUUGUAUCUGUGACGUUACUCGCAGAAGAAGCACCGGCUAACUCCGUGCCAGCAGCCGCGGUAAUACGGAGGGUGCGAGCGUUAAUCGGAAUUACUGGGCGUAAAGCGCGCGUAGGCGGUUAAUUAAGUCAGAUGUGAAAGCCCAGGGCUCAACCUUGGAACUGCAUUUGAAACUGGUUAACUAGAGUUUUGUAGAGGGUGGUAGAAUUUCAGGUGUAGCGGUGAAAUGUGUAGAGAUCUGAAGGAAUACCAGUGGCGAAGGCGGCCACCUGGACAAAGACUGACGCUGAGGCGCGAAGGCGUGGGGAGCAAACGGGAUUAGAUACCCGCGUAGUC
rnacentral:rRNA from 1 species